ACCUUCCUCAACCAGUGAGUGCUGCGGGGCGAGUGCUGGGGUGGGGGCCAGGGGUCGAGGGGACAGGGGGACUCGGGGUGCGGGCUCUCUGCUUGUGAUGUGCGUGUCCCCCCAGCCUGGCCCAGUACAGCGAUGAGAACAUGAUGGACCCCUACAACCUGGCCGUGUGCUUCGGGCCCACGCUGCUACCGGUGCCCGCUGGGCAGGACCCGGUGGCGCUGCAGGGCCGGGUGAACCAGCUGGUGCAGACGCUCAUAGUGCAGCCCGAUCGGGUCUUCCCGCCCCUGACCUCGCUGCCUGGCCCCGUCUACGAGAAGUGCAUGGCACCACCUUCCGCCAGCUGCCUGGGGUACACCCUUGGUGCUGCCGAGGGGACUGGGGGGUCCACUGGAGAAGAGCCCCCCUCAUCUGCCUCGCUCUGCCCUGAACCUCAGGGACGCCCAGCUGGAGAGCCUGGGGGCGGACAAUGAGCCAGAGCUGGAAGCCGAGAUGCCCGCACAGGAGGAUGACCUGGAGGGGGUCGUGGAGGCUGUGGCCUGCUUUGCCUACACGGGCCGCACAGCCCAGGAGCUGAGCUUCCGGCGGGGGGACGUACUGCGGCUGCACGAGAGGGC
rnacentral:sRNA from 1 species